rnacentral:rRNA from 1 species
UAGGGAAUCUUCGGCAAUGGGGGGAACCCUGACCGAGCAACGCCGCGUGAGUGAAGAAGGUUUUCGGAUCGUAAAGCUCUGUUGUUAAGGAAGAACGAGUGUGAGAAUGGAAAGUUCAUACUGUGACUGAACUUAACCAGAAAGGGACGGCUAACUACGUGCCAGCAACCGCGGUAAUACGUAGGUCCCGAGCGUUGUCCGGAUUUAUUGGGCGUAAAGCGAGCGCAGGCGGUUAGAUAAGUCUGAAGUUAAAGGCAGUGGCUCAACCAUUGUAGGCUUUGGAAACUGUUUAACUUGAGUGCAGAAGGGGAGAGUGGAAUUCCAUGUGUAGCGGUGAAAUGCGUAGAUAUAUGGAGGAACACCGGUGGCGAAAGCGGCUCUCUGGUCUGUAACUGACGCUGAGGCUCGAAAGCGUGGGGAGCGAACAGG